ACCCAGUCGUGGGGGAUAACGUAGCGAAAGUUACGCUAAUACCGCAUACGUCCUGAGGGAGAAAGCGGGGGACCGAAAGGCCUCGCGCGAUUGGAGCGGCCGAUGUCGGAUUAGCUAGUUGGUGGGGUAAAGGCCUACCAAGGCGACGAUCCGUAGCGGGUCUGAGAGGAUGAUCCGCCACACUGGGACUGAGACACGGCCCAGACUCCUACGGGAGGCAGCAGUGGGGAAUUUUGGACAAUGGGGGCAACCCUGAUCCAGCCAUGCCGCGUGAGUGAAGAAGGCCUUCGGGUUGUAAAGCUCUUUCCACGGAAAGAAAACGCCUCCGUGAAUACCCGAUGUGGAUGACGGUACCCGUAAGAAGAAUCACCCGCCAACUACGUGCCCGCAGCCGCGGUUAAUACCUAGGGUGCGAGCGUUUUUCCGAAUUUCUGGGCCUAAAGCCUGCGCAGGCCGUUAUUUUAGACAGAUGUGAAAACCCCCGGGCUCC
rnacentral:rRNA from 1 species